CCCCAUUUAAGAGCUGACUGCCACUGGAGAAGGAUCUCUUUCUCAAGAUCCCUCUUUUGUGAAGCUUUUCAUUGCAAGCUUAAAUCUCCAGAUAUGGUGGUAACAGAACAAACACAGCCAUUGGGUGCAGGUUGUGAUAAAGACCAAAUUCUGCAGAGCUUUGUACACGUGGGUCUGGAUUCUGCAAAACUACUUUGGGAAGCUUUGAAGGCAAGUGCAAAAGAACAAUACUGCUGCUCCCUAGUGCUAUGAUCUGCAAGGAAUGAAGGCCAAGAGAAACAACUUUCAUGAGGUGGGAAAUGGUUUGAAAGGUUUCAGCAACAGUCUUGAGAAUGAUCUGCAGAAGUACAGAAAGGGAAACAUACAGGAACAAAUAUAUUCUGGUCUCCAAGUAAGACUCAACUAUGUCUAAGUGUGAAUUCCAUGGAAGACUGAUAUGAGGAGAAAUAGCUACAAAAGGAAUAGAGCUCAUGUGAUUGGUCUGAUAGGAGAAGGAAAAAGAAAUGAAAUGAGAGAGAG
ensembl:lncRNA